GCCUGGCAGAGCCCGGAUCCAGCUGGUUCUCUCUGGGGAGCAGAGCUCUCGGGGUCCCCUGCACCAUGGCCUGGCCUCUCGUCUGCCUCCUCCUGCUCACCUGCUGCUCAGGUUCCUUCUCCCAGCCUGUGUUGACUCAGUCUCGCUCCAUGUCUGUGUCCCCGGGAGCCACGGCCAGACUCACCUGCACCCUCAGCAGUCAGCACAGUGAUUAUGGAAUUGAAUGGUUCCAGCAGAGCCCAGGAAAGGCCCCCAGAUUUGUCAUGAGGUGGAGACUGAUGGACCUGUAGACAUGGGCGAGGGGAUCCCCGACCGCUUCUCGGGCUCCAGCUCUGGCAUGGAUCUCUACUUGUCCAUCAGCAACAUCCAGCCUGAAGAUGAAGCUGAUUAUUACUGUGGGACACUUUAUGGUAGUGGUAGUAGGUAUGGUUACCACAGCACUACAUUCAGUGAGGAAGUGGGACAAAAACCUGCCUGCCAGCCCAGCCCUGGCCCAGGCUGUUGA